rnacentral:rRNA from 1 species
UACGGAGGGUGCGAGCGUUAAUCGGAAUUACUGGGCGUAAAGCGCACGCAGGCGGUUUGUUAAGCAAGAUGUGAAAGCCCCGGGCUCAACUGGGAACUGCAUUUUGAACUGGCAGACUAGAUCUUGGAGAGGGGGGUGGAAUUCCAGGUGUAGCGGUGAAAUGCGUAGAGAUCUGGAGGAACAUCAGUGGCGAAGGCGGCACUCUGGACAAUACUG